AGCGAACGCUGGCGGUAGGCCUAACACAUGCAAGUCGAACGGCAGCACAGUAAGAGCUUGCUCUUACGGGUGGCGAGUGGCGGACGGGUGAGGAAUACAUCGGAAUCUACUUUUUCGUGGGGGAUAACGUAGGGAAACUUACGCUAAUACCGCAUACGACCUACGGGUGAAAGCAGUGGAUCUUCGGACCUUGCGCGAUUGAAUGAGCCGAUGUCGGAUUAGCUAGUUGGCGGGGUAAAGGCCCACCAAGGCGACGAUCCGUAGCUGGUCUGAGAGGAUGAUCAGCCACACUGGAACUGAGACACGGUCCAGACUCCUACGGGAGGCAGCAGUGGGGAAUAUUGGACAAUGGGCGCAAGCCUGAUCCAGCCAUACCGCGUGGGUGAAGAAGGCCUUCGGGUUGUAAAGCCCUUUUGUUGGGAAAGAAAAGCAGCAGGUUAAUACCCCGCUGUUCUGACGGUACCCAAAGAAUAAGCACCGGCUAGCUUCGUG
rnacentral:rRNA from 1 species